GAUGAACGCUAGCGGCAGGCUUAAUACAUGCAAAUCGAGGGGUAGCAAGAUUGUAGCAAUACAAUUGUUGACGACCGGCAAACGGGUGCGGAACACGUACACAACCUUCCUACAAGUGGGGAAUAGCCCAGAGAAAUUUGGAUUAAUACCCCGUAACAUAGCGAUGUGGCAUCACAUUGCUAUUAUAGCUUCGGCGCUUGUUGAUGGGUGUGCGGCUGAUUAGAUAGUUGGCGGGGUAACGGCCCACCAAGUCUACGAUCAGUAGCUGAUGUGAGAGCAUGUUCAGCCACACGGGCACUGAGACACGGGCCCGACUCCUACGGGAGGCAGCAGUAAGGAAUAUUGGACAAUGGACGCAAGUCUGAUCCAGCCAUGCCGCGUGAAGGAUUAAGGUCCUCUGGAUUGUAAACUUCUUUUAUAAGGGACGAAAAAAGGUCUUUCUAGAUCGUCUGACGGUACCUUAUGAAUAAGCACCGGCUAACUCCGUGCCAGCAGCCGCGGUAAUAC
rnacentral:rRNA from 1 species